CCUACGGGAGGCUGCAGUGAGGAAUAUUGGUCAAUGGACGAAAGUCUGAACCAGCCAAGUCGCGUGAAGGAUGACUGCCCUAUGGGUUGUAAACUUCUUUUAUAUGGGAAUAAAAUGGUCCACGUGUGGGCUUUUGUAUGUACCAUAUGAAUAAGGAUCGGCUAACUCCGUGCCAGCAGCCGCGGUAAUACGGAGGAUCCGAGCGUUAUCCGGAUUUAUUGGGUUUAAAGGGAGCGUAGAUGGGUUGUUAAGUUAGUUGUGAAAGUUUGCGGCUCAACCGUAAAAUUGCAAUUGAUACUGGCAGUCUUGAGUACAGUUGAGGUAGGCGGAAUGCGUGGUGUAGCGGUGAAAUGCUUAGAUAUCACGAAGAACUCCGAUUGCGAAGGCAGCUUACUAAUCUGCAACUGACAUUGAUGCUCGAAAGUGUGGGUAUCAAACAGGAUUAGAUACCCGAGUAGUC
rnacentral:rRNA from 1 species